AAAGCUAAAGAGUGUCACAAAAAAGCACUGGAAAUUCGAAAAAAAUGUUUAGGUCCAAAUCAUAUUGAUGUCGCUGCAUCUUUAAGCCAUCUCGGUUUGGUUUAUGAUAAAACAGGAAAACAAGACAAAGCUAUAAAGUAUUUUGAAAAACCUCCAGAAGUUCGAAAACUGAAUGCGCCAGGUAAAGACCAUACUCACGUCACUUCGUCUUUGAGGAAAUUUCGUACGAUGUACAAAGAAACUGUAAAAUAUGAGUCUCAAAAAACUUAGAGUAAAUUUCUUGUUCCAAGUCAUGCUCAUGUUUCCCUGUCAUCAAAAUAUUUUGAAAUCACAAGUGGUGAUGAUGCUAAUGCUAAAGAUGUCGGAACUUCUCCGUGUGU